GUCAGUGUUUAUAUUCUUGUGAUUGAAAACUGACUAUCUGUUCUCUUCACCAUUUCUACAGUAAGUUACAGAGUGAUGUUUUGAGGGAAGCAAUCUCUCAGAUUGCAAAUGAUUCUCGGAAGAAGAAGCGCAAUUUUACUGAAACCAUUGAGCUACAAAUUGGUCUGAAAAACUAUGACCCCCAAAAAGAUAAGCAUUUCAGUAGAUCUUAUGUUUACCUAAUAUAAUUUUUAAUGGCAAACAUCAUACAAAUAACUUGCCCAAUGCAUUUAAAUUCAGGGCCUGGUUGUUCUUCUAUUGGCUAUGGAGAGGCAGAGGAACUUGGACCUUUCUUAAUACAAAAAGGUGUGCGAGAGCUCAAAUUCAACAAGCAUUCUUGGAACCGGAGGAAUUGCGACUCAUCACUCGCCUAUAGGCCCUAUACUGACAGAGAAAAUAGAGCUUGACUAUAUGGAUGUUGAAGCACUAAAAAAAUGAACAAAAACAAGAAGCUGGUCAAAAAGCUUGCUAAGAAGUACCAUGCUUUCCUAGCAUCAGAGGCGAUCAUGUAUAUUGACAUUAGUUCUAUGUGAAGCAGAUUUUCUUUUCGGGCUAUUCCAUAUAUAAAUUUGGAUGAUUUGACUUGUAUUCCUUGUCUUUGUAAAGAUUAAAUAUUUUUUGAAUAUUGCUGGUAUUAGAUGAAUGAAUAAAUAACUUGUAUUCCUUAUGUUCAGCUUUUUGUAAAGAUUGAAUGCUUUUUUAAUGUCAAUGAUGUUGGGACAA